AUUGAACGCUGGCGGCAGGCCUAACACAUGCAAGUCGAGCGGUAGAGAGGUGCUUGCAUCUCUUGAGAGCGGCGGACGGGUGAGUAAUGCCUAGGAAUCUGCCUAGUGGUGGGGGAUAACGUUCGGAAACGGACGCUAAUACCGCAUACGUCCUACGGGAGAAAGCGGGGGGAUCUUCGGACCUCGCGCCAUUAGAUGAGCCUAGGUCGGAUUAGCUAGUUGGUGAGGUAAUGGCUCACCAAGGCGACGAUCCGUAACUGGUCUGAGAGGAUGGACUCAGUCACCACGUAGGAACUGGAG
rnacentral:rRNA from 1 species